CUGAAGUCCAUCCAGGAAGCGUUUUGCUGAAUACUUUCAGUUGCCAUCGAGAUAUCAUGAUGAGAUAGCAGUAAUGUGAUAGUUCUGUGUAAUACAAUAUGCCACUUUUUAGAAAAAACUAAACACAUUUCGUAACGUUAAUCCUGAGUUUUUUUUCGGAGUUUGUUUUCAUGGCAUAGUUAGACAAAUAGCCAUGUGUAUCGUCAACCUUGUUGCAGAAUGGAUCAAUAGUAUAUGCAGAAUAAGCGUUGUCUAAUCCAACAACUGUGUGGUUUAAUUUACCACUGAACUAACUCCAGCAUUAAACUCAUUUUAAAUAAUGUCGAAACUAGUGGGCACUGCGGGGGUCUCUGUGUUGGGCGACAAAUCUUUGGAGUUUUACCGAGAUCCAGUGGCUUUUUGUGAACAACGUAUUGAAAAGCAUGGGACACGGAUAUUUCAAUCAAGACUUCUGAACAAACCAACUUCCUUCGUCUGUUCGGUGGAAGGGAUGAAGGAAUUACUUUGCGAGAAGUCAUCUGUGUUCCUGAAAGACCCCACUGAUGUAAUGCACAACAUGUAUGGAGACAACAUAGUGACUGCUAAUGGCGAGGAAGCCUGCUUGCUGCGUCUGUCUCUCACCAACCUUUUCACAGGAAAGUGUCUGGCCUCAGGCUCUGACCUCAUUAACAGUGUUUCUGAACGGUGCUUGAAGAACCUUUCUGCAACUGGGGAGCCCGUGUCGGUGUACCCUCUGUUUAAACGACUGGGAACAGAACUGGUGUUGGGGCUGUUCCUGAAUGUGAACCCAGAUGAGACACCAGAGCUUUUCCAGGAAAUUACAGCACUUUGUACCCUACACUGGCAUGGGAUCAUCUCAACUCCAAUCAGUGUGAAGGUUCCUCUGUGGUCCUCUGGCUUUUGCACAGCGCUGGAGGCUAAAGACAAGCUCAUGGACAUCAUUAAAGACAAGCUGGAGUGUCAGAGACAGGGGUUUGUAGGUUAUCUCCGUGAUCUACCUCUCCCUGAUGCCAGUUGUGCCUCCCAGCAUCUGCUGUUGUUCAUCUCUGCUCUGAUCCCCAAAGCCCUGGCAUCCUUACUCACCUCCUUCACCCUGGUUCUGAGUGGCGCAGGCAAGAAGGAAAUUAGGAAUCGUGCGAGGGCAGACCCUGAUUACCUUUACUACGUCCUCCUGGAAGUACAGAGACUUUGGCCUCCGUUCAUUGGUGGAAGGAGAAUAGCCAAUCAAGACACUACUCUGGGAGGCUUCCACAUUCCCAAGGCUUACGCUGCCAUGUACAUCAGCCACGCCAUCCACCGCGACCCGGAAGUGUUCCACCAGCCAGAGGACUUCCUGCCAGAGAGGUGGUGUGGAAGAAACGCAGGACAGGAGCACCUCCUCUGCAGCCUAGGCAACGGCCCCAGGAACUGCAUCGGAGUCCAGCUGAACAACGUCUUUCUCAAGGUGACUCCUCUCCUUUCCUCUCCUCCCUCAUCUUUCUACUCUAAUCACUUUUCUCUCCUCUCAUCACUCUUAUUUUAUUUUUCUCCACCAAAGUUAUCGUUGAUCUUUUUUUAAUGGAUUUAACAUGACGCUACCAAUGUCUUUUAAAUGUAAAUACUAUAAGGUCUAUGUACAUUUGUUGAUUAAAAAAAGUCCUACAUUACUGAUCAUUUAGAUAGGACUGGUCUGUCUGCAGUGCCUGAAGUCUACAGUUUCUCCAGAAAGUAAAGCAUCCCUCAGGAGACAGGGAUUUUCAGUAGGGAUUCCUCUUGGCUAAAGGGGUAAUGUUACGGUGGUAAGUUUUGCUGUGGAUGUUCUAUUGGCUGCUUGUAAGAAAAGGCCAGCUGUGCAGGGCCCUCUGUGGCGUCAUUACCAGGCUAGCAACCGCUGACUGAGACUGUCUGUCUGCGUCCCAAAUGGCACCCUAUUCCCUAUAUAGUGUUCUACUUUUGACCAGAGGCCCUGGUCAAACGUAGUGCACUACAAAGGGAAUAGGGUGCCAUUUGGGUUACAGACCUGUCCAGACCUGGAACACUCAGUGGGAGGCAGGUGAGAAAGAGGACAGGUGUGCUGCGGCCAUAAUGACAGUAAGGUGGGAGGGGAUCCACUUCCUGUUUCUGGUGUCUAUGAUAACGUGGUGUGUACUGGCAGUAUAUAUGCAGUGGCUUAGAUGGGCAGGAGGCAGGAGUCAUAGCAUCUGAUCACCAGAGCUCGCUCUGCUUAUCUGUCUAUGGCACAGAGAGAUGUGAGACAGGCCCUGUUGACAGGGAUAUUGAUGUCCCAUGUUUGCUGUUCGCAGUCAGGGUCGGCCGGUGGUGGUGACACAUGAUGUCCAGUAAUUGCACUCUGAAAACCAACACAGCAAGAAUUGUUUUAACAACAGCAGCUGCGAAAACCCCCACAUACACACCACACUACGUCCUACUACCCUGGCCUGGUCGGCAGAUCAUAUCAGGCCUCUGCGGGGCGGUGAGGGAGGCUGGGUUCCUACUACCCUGGCCUGGUCGGCAGAUCAUAUCAGGCCUCUGCGGGGCGGUGAGGGAGGAGGUUGGGUUCCUACUACCCUGGCCUGGUCGGCAGAUCAUAUCAGGCCUCUGCGGGGCGGUGAGGGAGGAGGUUGGGUUCCUACUACCCUGGCUGCGUCCCAAAUGGCACCGUAUUCCCUUUUUAGCAUUCUACUUUUGACCAGGGCCCAUAGGGACACUGUAGUAACGCCCAUGGGGCUCUGGUCAAAAAUAGUGCACGAUAUAGGGAAUAAGGUGCCAUUUAGAAGGCAGCGUUAUCCUGCCAGAUCAGCCUGCUUCCUCUGACGUACUGAACUGAGUGUCUGUACUGAGCUCUCUAAUGCCCACUGAUAGACAAGGAUCUGGGAGAUUACCAUCCACUCAGCAGGGAGUAUGACUCACUCUCUAUUGCUUUUUAUCCAAUAGAACUAGAUACUGUCAGUCAAAUAAACGGUAGGUACCACCACAGUACUUCAUCCAGCCCAUCAUUCACCCUGGGAAUUGCAGAUGUUCAGAACUAUGCAGCAGUAAGAGACUCCAAAGGCACAGCAUUGUAACAGGAGGAGCUGGUGUGUGCUUACGGACAUCAUCAACUUCCAUACAUCUUUUUUUUUUCUAGGAGAAAAUAAUCACCCUCCCUUCUCCUGUUCAAUGAUUUAGUGCAGGCGGACGGACAAGGCUGUAGUGAGGGAUGACUCAACCCUGAUCAUCUUAUCAUGGGAGAGUUGAUGCUGAACUAUACUUACGCUGCAUACAGAUGUGCUGACUGACAAAGGCGGCCAUAUGGCUGCUAUAAGAACUGGUUAGCUGGCUUAGAUGUUUUGUUUGUUGGAAUGGAAUCAAUUGUGUCAUUGCUUAAUUAUGGUGUAGGUAGGUUUAUUGGGAAAAUACUGUAUAGGUCUCAAACUCAUAUAUGAGAUAUUGUGUCUCUCAGAGUAACUGAUAUUUGAUGACAGAGCCAGAGCAGAAAGCAUAUCUUUGAGAUAGUUACCAUGGCAACAGACAUACAGUGGUUUGAGAGGAUGAGCUGUACUGAGCCUGUUGUAUCAAAACAGCCACUUUACCUAGGUCAGGUCAAAAUCUUAAGCGAUAAAAGUAAUGUUGAUGUUUUGUAAAAGUAAUAAUAUAUUACUCUCAUAUGUUGACUAGAAUGCAAUUCCUCCCUGUUGUGGACAGACACCCAGUAACAGGUUUUGAUGGUAUAUACUGUAUAGGCCCUAUACGUGUCCAUUGUGGUACUCGACAGAUUCACAACGCUUAAGUUCAAAUCCUAGGUGAUAUUGCAUUAUAAAGAAGUGAUCUACUGUCUUGUCAUGUCAAGGCUGCUAACAAGCUGCAGUGGGCAGUGACGGUAACAUUGCACCCAGACAUACCCAUUCUGAGGAGCGGGGGUGACAGGGCGGUUUCAUGUCAUGGAAGAGAUGAGGCAUCACUGUUUGGCUUAGUAAAAUCCAGCGUGGCCAGUCCCCCAAACUCAGGCCACCCCUGAGGGGACAGUCCAUUUGUCAUCCUCCUUUACACAUGGCAGCCUCCACACCUACACACACAUCAGCAGUGCUUUCUCACUGGGCCAAUUUAAACAACAAAAAAUGAUGUGAUUGCGUUGAAUCAACGUGGAAAACUGAUUGCAUUUGCAAAUGGUCAUCAACAUAAGUGAAUUUUGUAUUUUUUUUCACUUUUAAUCUAAAUCCAGUGAGAUGGUGACAUGUUUUGAACUGACAUCUGUUCCCAGUGGGCUCUCUCUCUACAGCAAAACCAAGAACACUACUACUGUAUAAGAGUGGUAUGAGAGGUGACAAGAUGUGAGACUCAUGGAUAUACUCUAAGGGUUGAUAUAUAUUAUAUCUAAGUAAAGCCAAUCAUAUAUUUCCCUUUAAGCAUGAAGGGAUAGAUUACGAGAAGAGAAAUGGGGUUAGUGUCAUGUUAGUGUGACACUAAAUUAGUGUCACGCAUCAACAUUUUUUAAAGCUUUUUAAAUGACAUGCAUUGGAAUAAUAGCCUGAUGGAAUCUGUCCUGAACAUGCUCUGUCCUUAUCCUUGUGAUUUAUUACCUGGCCCAUCCCAACUGCAGCAGUGUGGUCAUUACCGAGGCACAAUCACUAGAGAGGUGGAUGGUUGUCUCUGUUUUGGCCAGACUAGUGCAUGGGUUGGGUGUGACCAGAGACCAGCGAGGAGACUCUGGAGAGCAGUGGGAUGUAGGUCAGAAGCUGUGAGUCAUCUUUCCCCCUUCCCUCCCCCUUACCGCCUCUGGCAAAGGCACUCUCUCGGGAGAGAGAGGAGAGGCAAGGACGAUCUGUCACUCAUGUACUGUUAGCAUCAAACUGGUCACUUCAGAGAUCCUGCCAAAAUGCCACUCUGCAGUGGACGAACAAGACUCUACGACACAAGCAGCGCUGUAAUUUGUCGUUCAUUAGCCAGAUUGGCCAGAGUGAUUGUUCAUGUAGCCUAAUAUGUUGUCUUAAAGAGACAUCUCUAUUGUACAUGUAGCCUAAUGUGUUGUCUUAAAGAGACAUCUCUGUUGUACAUGUAGCCUAAUGUGUUGUCUUAAAGGGACAUCUCUAUUGUACAUGUAGCCUAAUGUGUUGUCUUAAAGGGACCUAAUGUGUUGUCUUAAAGGGACAUCUCUAUUGUACAUGUAGCCUAAUGUGUUGUCUUAAAGAGACAUCUCUAUUGUACAUGUAGCCUAAUGUGUUGUCUAAAAGGGACAUAAUGUGUUGUCUUAAAGAGACAACUCUAUUGUUCAUGUAGCCUAAUGUGUUGUCUUAAAGAGACAUCUCUAUUGUACAUGUAGCCUAAUGUGUUGUCUUAAAGGGACAUCUCUAUUGUACAUGUAGCCUAAUGUGUUGUCUUAAAGAGACAUCUCUAUUGUACAUGUAGCCUAAUGUGUUGUCUUAAAGGGACAUCUCUAUUGUACAUGUAGCCUAAUGUGUUGUCUUAAAGGGACAUCUCUAUUGUACAUGUAGCCUAAUGUGUUGUCUUAAAGGGACAUAAUGUGUUGUCUUAAAGAGACAUCUCUAUUGUACAUGUAGCCUAAUGUGUUGUCUUAAAGGGACAUAAUGUGUUGUCUUAAAGGGACAUCUCUAUUGUACAUGUAGCCUAAUGUGUUGUCUUAAAGGGACAUCUCUAUUGUACAUGUAGCCUAAUGUGUUGUCUUAAAGAGAUCUCUAUUGUACAUGUAGCCUAAUGUGUUGUCUUAAAGAGACAUCUCUAUUGUACAUGUAGCCUAAUGUGUUGUCUUAAAGAGACAUCUCUAUUGUACAUGUAGCCUAAUGUGUUGUCUUAAAUGGACAUAUUGUGUUGUGUCUUAAAGGGACAUCUCUAUUGUACAUGUAGCCUAAUGUGUUGUCUUAAAGAGACAUCUCUAUUGUUCAUGUAGCCUAAUGUGUUGUCUUACAGAGACAUCUCUAUUGUACAUGUAGCCUAAUGUGUUGUCUUAAAUAGACAUCUCUAUUGUACAUGUAUCCUAAUGUGUUGUCUUAAAGGGACAUAAUGUGUUGCGUCUUUUUAAUUAAAAAAAAAAUAAAUAAUAAUAAUAAUAUUUUUUUACCUUUAUUUAACUAGGCAAGUCA